AGCAGGAUUCGCUUUACUUCCUGUGGACAGAGCAACCGGGCCACCAAAGUGGAACAAGGAGAAGUUCUCAUCACUAUCAGUUUGUGGACAUCUUUUCCUUGGAGUUUCCAUUAAAGGCAUUUCGUUAAAUCUCCUCUCAUUUGCUUCCUUCAAAAAACUGUGUUCCAAUGGCUCAAGAGGUUGAGCUUGGUCAACAGUGUUCAUUGUGUU